rnacentral:lncRNA from 1 species
CGGGAUCCAUAUCUUACAGCUAGAAUACUUUUAGAAGAAGCACCAAGCCCUUGGUGCUUCUAGGUUUCUAACCCUUUGAUCUACUCCUUGAUUACUAAUAGCCUUUGGAUCAAACACUAUUCCACCUACCACCACCUACCACAACCUACCACCAUCAUCUCAACCCUACAUCUCUCCAUCUAAUGGCUAAAAACUCAAAAGCACCACUACCUUGGUGCUUUUGGGAGUAUUCUAGCUCAACUCUCUCUCUCUCUCUCU